AUUUUGACUCUUCGUCUUAUUUGAAUUUUUUUCCGAUUAAUAUUUUUAUUGUUACCAGAUGAUAAAAUAUGAAUAGUAUUUUAUGCGGGACUAAUUUUUUAAGUUUUUAUAUAAAUUCUUUAAAUAAGACAAAUGGUCAAAGU
rnacentral:pre_miRNA from 1 species